rnacentral:rRNA from 1 species
CCUACGGGUGGCAGCAGUGAGGAAUAUUGGUCAAUGGGCGGGAGCCUGAACCAGCCAAGCCGCGUGAGGGAAGAAGGUACAGCGUAUCGUAAACCUCUUUUGUCAGGGAACAAAGGCGGGGACUAGUCCCCGGAUGAGGGUACCUGAAGAAAAAGCAUCGGCUAACUCCGUGCCAGCAGCCGCGGUAAUACGGAGGGUGCGAGCGUUAAUCGGAAUUACUGGGCGUAAAGCGCUCGUAGGCGGUAUGUCAAGUCAAGGGUGAAAUCCCCGCGCUCAACGUGGGAACUGCCUUUGAAACUGGCAAACUGGAGUGUGUGAGAGGAUAGUGGAAUUCCAGGUGUAGGAGUGAAAUCCGUAGAUAUCUGGAGGAACAUCAGUGGCGAAGGCGACUAUCUGGCACAUAACUGACGCUGAGGAGCGAAAGCGUGGGUAGCAAACAGGAUUAGAUACCCCGGUAGUC